UUUGAGUUCACAUCUCAUAUUUUCUUUGUUCUAAUUGUAAAGGAUGACACCGGUGCUUGAAGGGAGUUCCUCAUCAAAGGACUCUGCAUCUCUGUGAAGGAGCAUCCUCACGUCUUGGUGCAGGAGGACACGAACGAGCAAAGACAUUAAAGAGGAGAAGAAGUGAAGGAAAGAAUAAAGUCAAAGACGAGUGUUUCCGCGGCAGAGAUGGAGGUCAGCUGGUUCUGUGCAGCAACAAGACCUGCACCACAGUUUACCACCUGUCCUGCCUAAACCUCACCAACACACAGUUUGGACGCUGGGCUGUGACGUCUGCGGGAACAACUGAAGAGACUUUCUGGCGCUGUGUCCCUGGCUCCCAACGGGACAGCUGUGCUGCACGCCUUCUCUGCUGCUCCAAGAGAAAAACAUCCAAAGUCUGACGGGACAUUUCAGAACCAAACCUGUGUGUUAGAGAGAGACAGACAGAUACAGACGGACACAGAUGGAGAAAGAGAGAAAAAGACAGAGAUAUAGAG